UACGUAGGGGGCAAGCGUUGUCCGGAUUUAUUGGGCGUAAAGAGCGUGUAGGCGGCCAUGCAGGUCAGCUGUGAAAACUCGAGGCUCAACCUCGAGACGUCGGUUGAAACCGUAUGGCUAGAGUCCGGAAGAGGAGAGUGGAAUUCCCGGUGUAGCGGUGAAAUGCGCAGAUAUCGGGAAGAACACCCAUGGCGAAGGCAGCUCUCUGGGACGGUACUGACGCUGAGGCGCGAAAGCGUGGGGAGCGAACCGG
rnacentral:rRNA from 1 species